rnacentral:lncRNA from 1 species
GCUCAGGGUCAGGGCAGGCAGAGGUCAGUAAUCCAGGGCAGAGUCAGAAAGGUACAGAACGACAGGCAGGCUCAGGGUCAGGGCAGGCAGAGGUCAGUAAUCCAGGGCAGUGUCAGAAAGGUACAGAACGGCAGGCAGGCUCAGGGUCAGGGCAGGCAGAGGUCAGUAAUCCAGGGCAGUGUCAGAAAGGUACAGAACGACAGGCAGGCUCAGGGUCAGGGCAGGCAGAGGUCAGUAAUCCAGGGCAGAGUCAGAAAGGUACAGAACGACAGGCAGGCUCAGGGUCAGGGCAGGCAGAGGUCAGUAAUCCAGGGCAGAGUCAGAA